CCUACGGGGGGCAGCAGUGAGGAAUAUUGGUCAAUGGGCGGAAGCCUGAACCAGCCAAGUCGCGUGAGGGAAUAAGGCCCUACGGGUCGUAAACCUCUUUUGCCGGGGAGCAAGGGCCGGGACGAGUCCCGGUCCGGAGAGUACCCGGAGAAAAAGCAUCGGCUAACUCCGUGCCAGCAGCCGCGGUAAUACGGAGGAUGCGAGCGUUAUCCGGAUUUAUUGUGUUUAAAGGGUGCGUAGGCGGGCUUUUACGUCAGCGGCAAAAAUUCGGGGCUCAACCCCGUCUGGCCGUUGAAACUUGGGGC
rnacentral:rRNA from 1 species